CCUCUUUUUAUAGACCCCAUCCUGUGUCUCCCCUCUGUUCCACUUGUGCUAUGGUAUCCUGGCACUGCCUGGACCCUUUGUUUUCCCUGCUUCUGCCUAGCCUGGGCUCCUUGAAUGGGUCCUGGCUGCCAACCAACCACCCCCACAACCUCCAUACACCAGGUAUCCCCUCACAGUGCCCUCUUUUGACCCUCCUUUGGUCCAGGUCCCACUCUGAGGAUCUACUCACCAGGGCAGAGGAGCCAAAUUGGCUGUCCUCUGCACCCCUAAGGCUUCCUAUGGGAAACACAGACUUGCCUCUUGCCUGAGUCCACUUUGCUGCCUGAACCUUGAGGCCUGGCAGUUAACAUGUGACUUGUUCCAACCCAGCCCUGAGAGAUCCACUCCCUUCCCUCCCCUGACCUCUCAACUUGCAUGCUAGCCCUACCCAGCCCUCCCUAACCCUGACCCUUUGCACUUCAGUCCCCAAGCCUGGCGCUCACAUGAGCCCUGACAGUGUUCCUCAUGUCACUUGGCAUAGCAUGGAGUCUCUUCCUGUUGGAUCUGACCUGGGGUCCCCUUGCUUGGGACUGCCAGCGUGCUCCCUUAGCUGCCCGUUGAGCUUUUCUCAGUCUCCUCAUCCUUUCACAGCCCUUCCUCCCAUUCCCCUCUGGCUUUCCCCUGGCGCUUGCAGGUCUCCUGCACCUUGGGUCUCUCAUCCAUGGUUGGUCAGAUGGGUCCUUUGCCUGGGCAUCGGGCUUGAGUCCUGGACCUUGCCCCCCCACACGCACCCACAGAGACCCCCCCAUAAUGCCCUCUUAUCUCCCUUCUCCUGGAACCCUUCACUUGCCAGGCCGCCUUUGCCACGUCUCUGUCCCUGGAUUCUCAUCUGGGCCAGAGCACCUUAUGGGAAACUUAGUUCUGCCCCUUGACUGGGCCCCUUGCUUUCUCUGGGCCUUUGGUCCUGCACCUGGAACCCUGAUACCUGGCAGUCGCCCUGGGCCAGGAGCCUGCCAGCCCAAUGCUGGAUCACAUCCCUCCAAAGUCUUGUCCACUGUCUUGAGCCCCCUGCCCAAGCCCUGGCCCUUGGCUCUCCAUUCCCUGGCCUUCCUCCUCGCUUGACCCUCUGGGGGACCUUCUUGCUCCAUGCUUCCCUGGGCUUGCACUGCGGGUCUCGAUGGGGACAGUACCCUAGUCCCCUUGGCUUCCCUGAAUCUCAGAACCCUACUGUCAUCUGCCUGCCCAGCCCCGCCCUUCCCUGCCCUUUCCUGGCCUGGGCCCUCCUGUUGGUCCCUAGCAUGGACUCCUUUCUAGAGUCCUGGCCCACACCCAUCCACACCCUUCCUCUGGCCUUUCAUGCUGUACCCUCCUUCAUCCCUCUUGUUGUCCCUGUCCCUGCUGGGCCCCUUUUCAAGAUCCCUUUCCCAGGAUUCUCACCAGGUCCAGGGGACUGGAACUGGGCAUUUGGCCCUGUAGGCUCCCUUUGGGAAAAUGUAGCUGUGCCCCUUGCCUGGGAUAUUGGACUCUCUUCCCAGGCCCUGCUCCUUGAUCGUGACACCCAGCAGUUAACCUGAGCCUUGAUUCCUCCUCUUGCUGCGCCACCCACUACUCUUGCUCCCCUUUCUCCCCUCCCCAGCCCUGUCUGUUUUCAUAGGACCCAGGACUGGGUCCUGGCACUUGGCUCCCCAUUCUUGGGCCUGGCUCCUUGAUGGAGCACCCAGUCGCCCUUCUUGAGGACCCUGUCCCUGUUCCUUGAUUUCAGGGCCCUUGCUUGCCCCCCUCAUGUUCCUCCCCUCUGUUCCUCUUGUACUGUGGUAUUUUGUCAUUGCCAGGAUCCUUCUCUCCCCCUGCUUCUCCCUAGCUUGUUCUCCUCCAAUGGUUGCUGGCUCCCCACUGACACCCCCACAAUCCCAGAUCAAAGGUAUCCCUCCCAUUGCCCUCCAUUGGUCAUGGUCUCCCUCUGAGGAUCUACUCACCUGGGGCAGAGGAGUGGAAUUGGCUGGCCUCUGGGCCCUGAAGGAUCCCUAUGGGCAACAUAGCCCUGGCCCUCACCCGGGGCCCCCUUUGCCCUCCAAACUUGACAACUGGCAGUGGACUUGGGCCUAGUGAUCACCUUGCCCUGGGUGAUUGUGGGAGGCCAACCUUAUGGGUGACUGAGUUACACUCCCCAGCUGGGUGCUGAGGCACUCAGUCACAGAAAUGGGUGUGUCUUGCUACAACCCAAUGGGUGAAGCUAUGCUCACCUGUUCCUUUGUAAUAUAACCCCUUGCCCUGUUUAGGAUUGCCGCAGUCCGGCUGCAGCAAAAUAACCAGGGGGUGACGAAUAACUUGUGUACGUUGAUACAGCAGGAGUAGGAGCCCUUUAUUGCAUGACAGGAGCAGUAUUUAUACAUUCCACACAGCUUAUCUAAUUAACAUAAACUAGAUACAGCAGUCAACCAAUCAGGAAUCUCC
rnacentral:lncRNA from 1 species